UCUCCUCGGGCUUCCAUAAGCGACGGCGGAUUUCUCAGUCGCCGGCGACGGCGUCGAGGGCGGAACGGAACCGCGGCGAUUUCGUCGGAGGGGUUAAUUUGUAACAAAUAGGGUCCUAUUCAAAAUAGUAAAUUCUAUCUUUACACAAAGCCCCUUAAUUUGGAUCGUGAUUAUUGAUCGCGAUCCAAAUUAGGAUCCUAUUUAAAAAUGUUCCAACAAAUAUUUUGCACAAAACACCUAAUUUGGAUCGCGAUCCAAACCAGGGGAUGUUUUGAAAACAUGGCUCCGCCGGCAUUCGACUCCGUCAGCUUCUUCGGUUCUUCCCCAAAGCCCCGCCUGUGCCGUGGCCCGUGGCCUCCGC
rnacentral:lncRNA from 1 species